rnacentral:tRNA from 1 species
GGCUCAUAGUGUAGUGUUAGCACAUCUGCUUUAUGUGCAGAAGGUCCUGGGUUCGUGCCUUAGGUGGAGCCA